GACGAACCGUGCGAACGUUGUUCGGAAUCACUGGGCUUAAAGGGCGCGUAGGCGGACUGCCAAGUCCGGGGGUGAAAUCCUCCGGCUUAACCGGAGAAUUGCCUGGGAUACUGGCGGUCUUGAGGGAGGUAGGGGCACGCGGAACUUCCGGUGGAGCGGUGAAAUGCGUUGAUAUCGGAAGGAACGCCGGUGGCGAAAGCGGCGUGCUGGCCCUCUUCUGACGCU
rnacentral:rRNA from 1 species